rnacentral:rRNA from 1 species
GAAGGUCCGGGCGUUAUCCGGAUUUACUGGGUGUAAAGGGAGCGUAGGCGGCGAUGCAAGUCAGAAGUGAAAGCCCGGGGCUCAACUCCGGGACUGCUUUUGAAACUGUGUUGCUAGAUUGCAGGAGAGGUAAGUGGAAUUCCUAGUGUAGCGGUGAAAUGCGUAGAUAUUAGGAGGAACACCAGUGGCGAAGGCGGCUUACUGGACUGUAAAUGACGCUGAGGCUCGAAAGCGUGGGGAGCAA